rnacentral:lncRNA from 1 species
GACUUCUGUAACGAUAAAAGUUAUAUUUCAGAAGAGACAAGAGUACUUCUGUUAACAGGAAAGGGAACAGAGUUCAGAGGCAACAGAAACUGGAGUAAGUGAAAAUGAAGAGAACCCUGUGAGGAUUAUUUCAGUUACACCUGUAAAGAAUAUUGACCAAGUAAAAAAUAAGGAAAUUAAUUCUGAUCAGGCUACCCAGGGCAACAUCAGCAGUGACCGAGGAAAGAAAAGAACAGUAACAGCAGCUGGUACAGAAAAUAUCCAACAAACAACAGAUGAGAAAGUAGAUGAAUCGGGACCGCCUGCCCCUUCCAAACCCAGGAGAGGACGUCGACCCAAGUCUGAAUCUCAGGGCAAUGCAACCAAAAAUGAUGAUUUAAAUAAACCUAUUAACAAGGGAAGGAAGAGAGCUGCAGUGGGUCAGGAGAGCCCUGGGGGUUUGGAAGCAGGUAAUGCCAAAGCACCCAAACUGCAAGAUGUAGCCAAAAAGGCAGCACCAGCAGAAAGACAGAUUGACCUACAAAGGUAAAAAGGCAUUUGCAGAGGGAGAAAAUGAAGGCCAAACAGAAGCAGGCUCCAGCUUCUGCAAAAACUUGGAUUCACAAAUGUCCCUGAACAGAAAAUGAAGCUCACUUCAGAACACACACUCUCUGCCUUGAAAACUGAAGAAACUAUUACUUCCUUUUCACAUGACCACAAGUCCUCUGAUGGAAAUGUACAGCAGAAACUCUUGAGAGAGAGGCUAAAAGCAACUCUGUUCUCCCCCUUCCCCUAGACUUUUCUUACGAAAAGUCAAUAAUUAAGCAAAUUGCUUAACACUUGGUUCCAGUUCCUGCCUAUCUGGAGUUUAAAUGCAUAAUACACCAUUAAUUUCCACGCUGCAGUUUUUAUUUUAAAGAAAGUAACAAGAUGUCUUUACACUGACACUGAAAAUUCAUCGAUUUUAGAGCCAGGAAUUCCCAUGUUACACAGGAAGAAAUAGAAGUCUACUGAAUUAAUUUUUUAAAAGAAAAGAGAUCAAAUAUUUCUUUGUUUUUCCUUUUGGAAACUUUUAUGUAUAAUUCUUUCUGCCUGCCUACUUUUCUGCAAAAAUGAGAUGUACAGAUUUCGGUUCCCUGCUAUGAAAAGUGAUGUGGUGGCAAUUUUAUAAAUGUUGCUUUCUGAUUUUUAUCAGAGUGAGAAAAUAAUUAAAAUUAUAUUGAUUUGCAAGUAGUAAACAGUUCAUAUUUUGAUUUCCCCUCAUUUUAGUUUAAUAUAAUUUGCAAUAAAUGUACAUAUUGUUGUUUGUUUCAUAAAGCAUAUCACUUUAAAAUGGUUUUUACUCCUGUGAUUAUGUUGGAAUAUUUGGAAUUUUAAAGGAGUAAAGACUGUCCAGCAUUUGGUUUUAUAAUGUUUGUCACCAGAUUUUUAUUAAUAAUGUAAAAAAAAAAAAGUCAAUUUUUAAAAAAUAGUUGGCCUUUGGCAGCUUUGUAAGGAACGUUGGAGGUGUUUUAGGAUUGCUGUCAAUUUUCAGCAUUGUGCUAUUGGGAAAAAAGUGUUUUGCUUUGGUCUGAUGGUCUGAGCUCAUUUUUAUGUUUAUUUUAGAAAGCUGUUGCAUCAAUAUGUUAUGUUCCUUGGCAUUGUUCAGCAUAGGUAAUGUGUGCACUUUUUGUGUACACAUAAUCAUAUUUAAGUUUUUUGCAUAAAAUAAAUGCUUCUAGAUGUUAUAUGGCAGUCUUUUUAAUCUUUUUAUCAUAUGCUUGUGAAUUUUUUCAUGUUAAAGAGCUAAAGUCAUAACAUGAUUACAGUCAACUCUCCAUUAUCUAUAUAAAAUAGUGACUAUGCCUCAGGUUUUUAAUUUUUUGGUAAUCAUAAACUUACAAAAUAAAGAAGGCAUAUAAGACCUGAUUCCGGAGGAACUUGAAAUUUGUCUUUUCUCAUGACCAGAGUUCGGUCCUCCCCCAUUGUUCACUAUAGGGUCAUCCGCAAAGCCCUGGGAGAAUGUGCUGACUUCAUUUUCUUACUCAUUCCUAGCAUGGGUGAAAGGAAACAAACAACAUUUAUGUUAUAACUUGGUCUGGAUAGGCUGUAGUUAGUAUACAUGGGAUAUAAAAGAAACUGAUGCGCAUCAAAGGUGGAUGAUUCUGUAGAGUGAAGUUUGAGAGUAAAUGUCACAACGUUCUCAUAGAUAAUCAAGAGUUGGCUGUGUACGGAUUGAAAGAUGGGUAAUUAUUUUAAAUAUGCAUAUACACACACAUUCAGGUAUUCAGAAGAUGGUUAGGGAACAGUGGAUGCCAAUGAUAGAAAACGAUACCUUCGCAGGGGCAGAAAAAGCCCUACUCUUCCUUAUUGCCUCUUCAGAACCCUUUAGAAAGUAUAAAAUAUUGCCUCCAACAUGCUGAAAAAAGAGUAUCUAUGCAUAAGUAUCAGAGAAGUCCCUCAAGCAAGCAGUAGGUGUGUUACAUUUAGAAAGAGUUUAAAGUUCUCUUAGCAUCAGACAACUUGAUUCCUAAGGUUUCCUUCGUGUCACCAACAAAAAGUGCAUUGAUAGGGCCUUUGGCUCUUCCUCCCUUUGAUUAAUUGCCCAACAUCACAGUUUAAUUACCAAGUGUGACAUCAUAUUAAAACGUAGCAGAACUAUCUGCAUCAAUAUAUUCCUGUUUAGAUUUUUGCAGGAGACAAGUUACUUGAAAGACAAGAUCUGGUCCUUGUGUGAUGUAAAUGGCCCACCCGUUUUGUAAUAUGAUGCAAGUGUCUGGCACUAAGGGAAGCAAGAGUAGGAUUGUAGAGAGAUCGAUCUGAUGGGGAGGGACUUAUUUACGGGAAAUUUUUUAGUUUUCCUUUUUGAAGGAAAACAUUAAAAUCCCUUAGGAAUUUGGUAUUCACAUCUCAGAGAACUACAACACAAAAGUGCAGACUUAUAUUUGAGAAUUAAUAUUAACCCUUUGUGUCUAGUUUGAAGCUUCUUGUAUUUGUCUAAAACUACAAGCCAGAAUUUUGUAUCUCCUUUGAUAUAAAGUGUGUAUAAUGUAAAGUAGUUUUGCAUAUUAUUGUGCUGCACAUGGGCUGAAUUUUUAAAUUUUUUUUAAAAACUUGAAGCAGAACCUUGUAAUUUGUGUAAAUGACAAGUGUAAAAUCCUACCAUAAAAUGCUAAAGAUAUGCACUGUUUCAAAUAAAACCAAGAAAUGCAGCAUUAUAUAGUAGUGUGGAGCCCUGAAUAUUCAUGUAUCCCUGGUAUGUCACAAGUUGAUAAAAUGUCUUUGCAUAUUUUCUGUUGAGAUGCUGGAGUCUGAAUAUCGUAAUAAGAAAUCAAAAGCCACCUUUAAACUUCCUGGCUACGUACUCUGAUGCAGCUUACAGUGACUAAGGAAGAACAUAGUGUAAUAAUAAAUUUUGAGGGACAUUCGGAAUUUCCAAACAAGAUGUUGGUUUUGGGGGUGGCUUUUUUUUUUUUUAAUGAAGUCUUACUCUGUUGCCCAGGAUGGAGUGCAAUGGCGUGGUCAUGGCUCACCAUAGCAGUCCUGCCCCAGGCUCCUAAAAAAGUGCUGGGAUUACAGGCGUGAGCCACCAGGCCUGGCCAAGAGGUUACUUUUUUAACCUAAGAACUUAAAAGCAGCCUUUUAUUCAUAUUGGCCUAUGGUUCAUCUAUUCAUUGCAAGUUUUGAAACUUACGCAUUUUAUUAUGAAACUCAUAUAUAGUGUUAUAACAAAUUCAAGAGAGCAAGCAGAUUAUAUAAAUGUAUCUGGAAUAAGGUGACCAGAAUGAGAGGUAAGAAAAGCUGUCAUGCCCAGUCAUGGUGACUCAUACCUGUAAUCCCAGCACUUUGGGAGGGCAGCCGAGGCAGGUAGGUCACUUGAGCUCAACUUCAAGACCGGCUUGGGCAACAUGGUGAACCCCAUCCGUAUCAAAAAUACAAAAGUCAGCAGGGUGUGGUGUUGCACGCUUGCAGUCCCAGUUACUCGGGACACUGAGGUAGGAGAAUCACUUGAGCCUAGGAGUCAGAGGUUGCAGUGAGCCGAGAUUAAACCACUGCACUCCAGCCUGGGCAACAGAGCAAAACUCCAUUUCAAAAGUAAAUAGCCCAGGUGCAGUGGCUCACAGCUGUAAUCCCAGCACUUUGGGAGGCCGAAGCAGGUGGAUCACCCGAGAUCAGGAGUUUGAAACCAGCCUGGCCAACACAGUGAAACCCCAUCUCUACUAAAAAUACAAAAAAUUAGCCAGGCAUGGUGGCACAUGCCUGUAGUCCCAGCUACUUGGAGGGCUGAGGCAGGAGAAUGUGUUGAACCAGGGAAGCAGAGGUUGCCAUGAGCUGAAAUUGUGCCACUGCACUCCAGCCUGGGCAACAAAGCCAGACUCCCGUCUCAUAAAGUCCUGAAACAUGUCCAUUUGUACCACUGCACUCCAGCGUGAGUGACAGGAUAAGACCCUGUCUCAAAGGAAAAGCUAUCAUGACUAGUUUUGUAUUUUACCGAUAAGGGGUUGUCUUUCCACUCCCAAUGCUUGCAUUGACAAGACUUUUUUUGUCUUUGCUACUCACAUAAACUGUCCUGCUCUGACAAGCAGCUCUGUAGCCUGCUUAGGUAAUGGUGACAGCAUUUCCUACAAGGAGUUAGCUAUAAGCCAGCAAGGUAGGGAAGAUGGAAAUGAGUGUACAGAAUCAAGCACUUUUCUACUGAAAGAAACCACACCUUCAACUUUUCACUCCCAUGAGAGUAAUAACCUUCACUUAUUUCACUAUUAUAUCUUAUUUCAAAGUCUUAGCAAGGCAACAUAGAACCUAUCUCUACCAGAAAUUUAAAAAAAUAAGCCAGACAUAGUGGUGCGUGCCUGUUUCCCAGCUUUUCAGGAGGCUGAGGUGGGACAAUAGUUUAAGCCCAGGAGGCAGAGGCUGCAGUGAGCUGAGAUCGCACCACUCCACUCCACCCUGGGUGACAGAAACCUUGUCUCAAAGAAAAAAGUCUAACAGGAACACGUACAAGGUCUCAUUUCUAAGGAGCCUGGGCCAGGCUGCUGAUCAGUACUUCAGUUUUGGGGUGAUUCUCAAAGGUUUCUUCAUCAAUGCUGAUUGCUAACUUAAAGCCCCUUUCUCCCCUUGUUCUUAAGUUACUCCUGUUGUUCUUGAGCAAGGACCAUGUCAUUUGGAAUAAAUCCUGUAAUUUUUAAUAAACAGCCCUACGUUCUCCCGGAAGAAGCUUGAAUGGUGACAUGGUUUGGCUCUUUGUCCUCAGUCAAAUCUCAUCUCUUGCACUGGAAACAAAUCAUUAAAAAUAAAUAAAUAAAAAUCUCAAAUUGUAAUCCCCACAUGUUGAGGAAGAGGCCUAGUGUGAGGUGACUGCAUGGGGCAGUUUCCCCCAUGCUGUUCUCCAGAUAGUGGAGUUCCCAUGAGAUCUGAUGGCUUAAAAGUGUGGCCCCUCCUGGCUCUCGCUCUCUCCUGCCGCCAUGUAAGAUGUGCCUUGCUUCCCUUUCUCCACCA